GAUGAACGCUGGCGGCGUGCCUAAUACAUGCAAGUCGAGCGAACAGACGAGGAGCUUGCUCCUCUGACGUUAGCGGCGGGCGGGUGAGUAACACGUGGAUAACCUACCUAUAAGACUGGGAUAACUUCGGGAAACCGGAGCUAAUACCGGAUAAUAUAUUGAACCGCAUGGUUCAAUAGUGAAAGACGGUUUUGCUGUCACUUAUAGAUGGAUCCGCGCCGCAUUAGCUAGUUGGUAAGGUAACGGCUUACCAAGGCAACGAUGCGUAGCCGACCUGAGAGGGUGAUCGGCCACACUGGAGCUGAGACACGGUCCAGACUCCUACGGGAGGCAGCAGUAGGGAAUCUUCCGCAAUGGGCGAAAGCCUGACGGAGCAACGCCGCGUGAGUGGUGAAGGUCUUCGGAUCGUAAAACUCUGUUAUGAGGGAAGAACAAAUGUGUAAGUAACUAAGCACGUCUUGACGGUACCUAAUCAGAAAGCCACGGCUAACUACGUG
rnacentral:rRNA from 1 species